rnacentral:rRNA from 1 species
UACAGGGGGUGCAAACGUUGCUCGGAAUUAUUGGGCGUAAAGCGCGCGUAGGCGGCCGCUUAAGUCGGAUGUGAAAGCCCCUGGCUCAACUGGGGAAGUGCACCCGAAACUGAGUGGCUUGAGUACUAAAGAGGGUCGCGGAAUUCCCGGUGUAGAGGUGAAAUUCGUAGAUAUCGGGAGGAACACCGGUGGCGAAGGCGGCGACCUGGGUAGAUACGUGACGCUGAGGCGCGAAAGCGUGGGGAGCAAACAGG